rnacentral:rRNA from 1 species
GAUGAACGCUGGCGGCGUGCCUAAUACAUGCCAGUAGAACGCUGAAGGAAGGAGCUUGCUCUUUCCGGAUGAGUUGCGAACGGGUGAGUAACGCGUAGGUAACCUGCCUGGUAGCGGGGGAUAACUAUUGGAAACGAUAGCUAAUACCGCAUAACAGUAGAUGUUGCAUGAUAUCUACUUAAAAGGUGCAAUUGCACCACUACCAGAUGGACCUGCGUUGUAUUAGCUAGUUGGUGAGGUAACGGCUCACCAAGGCGACGAUACAUAGCCGACCUGAGAGGGUGAUCGGCCACACUGGGACUGAGACACGGCCCAGACUCCUACGGGAGGCAGCAGUAGGGAAUCUUCGGCAAUGGACGGAAGUCUGACCGAGCAACGCCGCGGGAGUGAAGAAGGUUUUCGGAUCGUAAAGCUCUGUUGUAAGAGAAGAACGAGUGUGAGAGUGGAAAGUUCACACUGUGACGGUAUCUUACCAGAAAGGGACGGCUAACUACGUG